rnacentral:lncRNA from 1 species
GUCGAUUCAACAACAACAAACAGUCCAGCUUUCAGAAAAAGACAAAUGAAGAUGAAAGAGGAGUAAGAUGCCAUGAAUGUGAAGGUUUUGGCCAUAUCAGAACAGAAUGUCCAACCUUUCUAAAAAGGCAAAAGAAAAGCCUUGUGGUUUCAUGGUCUGAUACAGAUUCAGAGGAGGAAGAAUCUGCUAAAUUUGUUAAUGCAUU